UACGUAGGGUGCAAGCGUUGUCCGGAAUUAUUGGGCGUAAAGAGCUCGUAGGCGGUCUGUCGCGUCGGCUGUGAAAACUCGGGGCUCAACCCCGAGCCUGCAGUCGAUACGGGCAGACUAGGGUGCUGUAGGGGAGACUGGAAUUCCUGGUGUAGCGGUGAAAUGCGCAGAUAUCAGGAGGAACACCGGUGGCGAAGGCGGGUCUCUGGGCAGUAACUGACGCUGAGGAGCAAAAGCGUGGGGAGCGAACAGG
rnacentral:rRNA from 1 species